CCCUUAGAUGUUCUGGGCCGCACGCGUGCUACACUGAGUAACUCAAUGGGUAAGGGAACGCUAGAGCAUUACCUAAUCUUGAAAUUUGCUCGUGAUGGGGAUCGACGGUUGCAAUUUUCCGUCGUGAACGAGGAAUACCUUGUAGGCGCAUGUCAUCAUCAUGCGCCGAAUACGUCCCUGCCCUUUGUACACACCGCCCGUCGCUCCUACCGAUUGAGUGAUCCGGUGAGGCUCUGGGACCUGGACGGAAAGAGCGUUUCGCUUGUUCUGUUUGGGAAACUUGGUCGAACCUUAUCAUUUAGAGGAAGGAGAAGUCGUAACA
rnacentral:rRNA from 1 species